CAGUCGCCGCGGUAAUACGAAGGGGGCUAGCGUUGCUCGGAAUGACUGGGCGUAAAGGGCGCGUAGGCGGAUUGUUUAGUUAGGCGUGAAAUUCCUGGGCUUAACCUGGGGACUGCGCUUAAUACAGGCAGUCUAGAGUGAGGAAGAGGGUUGUGGAAUUCCCAGUGUAGAGGUGAAAUUCGUAGAUAUUGGGAAGAACACCGGUGGCGAAGGCGGCAACCUGGUCCUUGACUGACGCUGAGGCGCGAAAGCGUGGGGGGCAAACAGGAUUAGAUACCCCCGUAGUCCCUGUCUCUUAUAC
rnacentral:rRNA from 1 species